rnacentral:lncRNA from 1 species
UUUCUUGUAUUAUAUAUGAAAUGAUGUACAGUUUAUGUGCUGCUACCACUGGAACAUUGUAUAGAAUUGCUCACAAAAGAUGUCAAGCAUUUUGUGGAAUAUGUUCAGGUAAUUCAAUAUCAACAUUUAUAACUUUCAUAAUGUGGUUUACCUUUUCAUUGUCGAGAAGUGUCCUUACUUAUCAAUUCUAUUAUAUUAUUUAUUACCUAUAAACUAUUCGUCAUUUUUCGAUUUUAAACUUGUUUAUAUUUUUAUCUUCAAUUUUGUACAUAUCUAUAGGGCAUUGAAUAACUGGUCUAUACAACGCAUGAUUAUCUUCCUGUAAGAACUUAACAUGUAAAAAAAAAUCUUGGUCAUAAUUUGCAUUAAUUAACUGCAAGUUGUACUUGUGGCUUUAUAGUAUUCAGUGUUCGAUUUACUAACAUAUUUCAUGUGUAUUUUUGUACUGUAUUCUUGUUAUGUAAUGUUGUCAUUUUAUUGUAAUAUCUAACCACGUAUCUAAAAUUGCCAUCAAUGCGUGAGGUUUGGCUAGCCACCAUUUUUUUCACAUUUGAAAAUGGCCACUACAAGACUGGAAAUGGCAUUUGUAUCUUAUAGUUCAUUUCUGUGUGUGUGGCAUUGUCGUUUGUUUUUCAUUGCACUUCAGUGUUUCUGUUGUUUUGCUGUUAUAUUUAAUGUGGUCCCUCGGUUUUAUUUUGUAACCCUCAAUUUGUUUCUUUCAAUCGAUUUGUGACUUUCGAACAGCAUUAACUAUUGUUGCCUUAUUUAUAUCUAAUUAAACUAUCACAUGUUUGUAGUUUCGUUAAAUUUAUAACAUUAUCGUACAUUUCCUUUUGAUUUGCAUUUGUUUUCUUUGACUUAUUUUUGUUUUGUAGGACGACAUUUGUAUUUGUAUUGUUUUAUAGCUCAUGUUUUAUAACAGAUAAUUUAUCUUCUAUAUGUUAUUUUUUGCAGUAAUCUAUAUUGCGAUUUUUUCAGAAAACAGCACUUCCGGACCACAAUCAGGUAAGAUACUGUACAGCAAACAAAUAAUGCAAUGGUGGUUUCAUAAUCACGGACAAUAUACAUUCGGACAGUUUGUCAUGAAUAUUAUUAUUAUUAGAAUAUCAGCAUACUCUUGUUAAUAACUGUAUUUCUAAUUUAAUGAUGGAUAAAGACAAUAAUAAUGAAUAAACAUGUUCUGUAGACAUCUAAAAACAAUUUGAAAACGUUUUCAAACUUAUAUUUGAAGUUUUGUUUUAAGUAACAGGAUCUUUUUUACUGAUUAAUAUAAAAAAAGACGAUGUGGUAUGAUUGCCAAUGAAACAACUCUCCACAAGAGACCAAAGAGGGACAAAAGAUACCAGAGGGACAGUCAAACUCAUAAAUCUCAAAUUGACAACACCAUGGCUAAAAAUGAAAAAAACAGACAAACUAUAGUACACAUGACACAAAAUAGAAAUCUAACAAAAUAAGCAACACGAGUCCCACCAAAAACAAAGGGUGAUCUCAGGUGCUCCGGAAGGGUGAGCAGAUCCUGCUCUACACGUGGCAUCCGUCGUGUUGCUUAUGUUAUAACAAAUCCGGUAAAUAGUCUAAUUCGGUAGGGUACAUUCAUUCCAUAACGGUUAAUCAACUCGUGAUGGCGUCCGUAAAAUUUACGAAGCGAUUAUCACAACUUUUUCAACACCUUUUGGAACUCUUGGUUUAAUAGCUUCCUUGUGAGCAGCAACCCUCUAUUAAGAACACCAUGAACAGAAAUGCAAGCACGGGAAUAUCGUAUCAAUUGGGAGAUAUAUACCCGUAUGCAGGUGCUGCUGGAAUGUUGCUACUUAGAAAUGGAAAGUUCACAAUUGGAAAGCUGAAAUCAUCUCUUUUGUCGUAAAGUUUUGUUUUCAACUGACCCUCAUUGUCAAUUUCUAGAUGUUAGUCAAGAUAUAAGGCCGACUUAACUGUAUCUCUUGUAUCCUUUAUCUCUAGUUCGAUGGGAUAGAUGCGUUCAACAUAGUCAUCAAAUUUUGAGUUAUUUAGUGAAAGAUCAUCAUCUAAAUAGCGGCAAGUAGAGUUAAAGGAUAUUGCUAACUUCUUAUCUUUCUUCCUGAGAAGUUUCUGUAUGAAGUCAGCCUCAUAAUAUUAAUGAAAUAAAUCGCCAAGAAGAGGGGCAUUAUUGGUUACCAUUGGAAUGCCGACAGUCUAUUGAAAAACACGCCCUCCGAACGUAACAAAUAUGUUGUCAAUCAAGAAAUCAAGCAUCUUGAUAAUGUCAGUUUCAGAGAGUUUUUUGUUUGAAUCAGAGUGAUCCUUUACAAAGUAGGAUUUAUUCCUCCCUAAGACAAGAUACUUAUAUCUACGUUGGUCAUUCGUUUUUAUGAAACAAAGCAAUACCAACUCUUUCAAUUUGUCUUUUAAUUUGGAAUGUGGAAUACUUGUGUAAAGUGUAGAAAAGUCAAAUGUUUUAAUACUAUUGCAAGAUGAAAGAGAGUUAGAUUGUAUGUACUCAAAAAGAUCUUUGGAAUUUUUCAGUAUCCACAUCUGAUUCACGACAAAUGUCACACCGCUUUUGACAUGUACAAUCACGUGUUAUAAUCUUUUAAACAUCGAUAAACUAUUGUUGCUAAAUGUGACAUUAUAACAAGCAAAGAUGACUUUUUAAGAUUUAUUCUUUUAUGUUAUAACAGCUUCCUUACCUAAGCAGCCUACAUGUAUCGACCAUGAUGCAAGAUGUUCUCAGUUCCAAUUUAACAUAUGUUCAUCUACUGUGUCUCAGAAUUUUGUUAUCUCUACAUGCCCAAAGUCAUGUAACAAGUGUGCAGAAUAUCUGG